CUUUUGUGAUUACAUCUAGUGUCUCCUAGCAACUUUGUGCUUCCUAUCCUUAUGCCUCUGGGUUCUAUUUCUACUUGGAGAUACAAUAGUUGUUCUCGUGAAUUGGAAUCAAUCAGUGCUACCUCGUGCUUUGAAAUUCUUCAUGUCCCUAGGAUGCUGCCACCAAAGAGACUGUAUUUCAUCUGGGCUUGAUGAUUGUUGCCUCAUCAGGGUGGGUCCAGGCUUUGGAUUCAGAUGAGCUGUUUGAAUCCUGGCUCCUAGAGGUAUAUACUGUAAAGAAAUUCAUGUGUGCAGUGUGCAAAAAUAUUCUUACUGUGUCUACACAAAUGUCUAUCCAAAUGUCCAUUGCCAGGAGAAUGGAUCAAUAAUUUGCAUAGUAUAGCGGUGAAGAUGAUUGAAUACAACUGCAUGCUUCAACAUGGAUGAGAAUCAAAGCACAAUGCAGAGGAAAGAAAGCAAAUCACAGAAGGACACACUGAGUUCACCUGAUAAAUUUCAAAUGUACAAAAAUAAGUGGCAUAUAUUUCUAGUUUACGUGCGUAUAUAAUAAACUGUUUUACAGAGACAUAAUCCUUGGUGGGGAGGAAGGGAAAUAAGAAAAACUAUUGGGAAAAGGGGCUUUGCCAGAAUUAGUCACUUUCUGUUUCUUAAGCUGGCUUGGGCACAUGGAGGGUCAGUCAAUCAUUCUUUAUACUUUAGCUAUUACCUAGACAUAAUUUUUUGAAUCUAUGAAAUAGUUCAUGAAAAAUAAAAUUUUAAAAAG
ensembl:lncRNA